ACGGAGGGUGCAAGCGUUAUCCGGAUUUAUUGGGUUUAAAGGGUGCGUAGGCGGGUUUGUAAGUCAGUGGUGAAAGCCUACAGCUUAACUGUAGAAUUGCCAUUGAUACUGCGGACCUUGAGUAUAGUUGAAGUAGGCGGAAUGUGUCAUGUAGCGGUGAAAUGCUUAGAUAUGCCACAGAACACCGAUUGCGAAGGCAGCUUGCUAAGCUAUAACUGACGCUGAGGCACGAAAGCGUGGGGAGCAAACAGG
rnacentral:rRNA from 1 species